AUUGAACGCUGGCGGCAGGCCUAACACAUGCAAGUCGAGCGGGGGUAGCAAUACCCUAGCGGCGAACGGGUGAGGAAUGCUUGGGAAUCUGCCUGGUAGUGGGGGAUAACGUUCCGAAAGGAACGCUAAUACCGCAUACGUCCUACGGGAGAAAGGGGGGGAUCUUCGGACCUCUCGCUAUCCGAUGAGCCCAAGCGGGAUUAGCUAGUUGGUGAGGUAAAGGCUCACCAAGGCGACGAUCCCUAGCUGGUCUGAGAGGAUGAUCAGCCACACUGGAACUGAGACACGGUCCAGACUCCUACGGGAGGCAGCAGUGGGGAAUAUUGGACAAUGGGCGAAAGCCUGUUCCAGCCAUGCCGCGUGUGUGAAGAAGGCCUUCGGGUUGUAAAGCACUUUUGUCCGGAAAGAAAUGGCUCUGGUUAAUACCUGGGGUCGAUGACGGUACCGGAAGAAUAAGGACCGGCUAACUACGUGCCAGCCGCCGCCGUAAGAC
rnacentral:rRNA from 1 species